rnacentral:rRNA from 1 species
AGUGAACGCUGGCGGUAGGCCUAACACAUGCAAGUCGAACGGCAGCACAGUAAGAGCUUGCUCUUACGGGUGGCGAGUGGCGGACGGGUGAGGAAUACAUCGGAAUCUACUUUUUCGUGGGGGAUAACGUAGGGAAACUUACGCUAAUACCGCAUACGACCUACGGGUGAAAGCAGGGGAUCUUCGGACCUUGCGCGAUUGAAUGAGCCGAUGUCGGAUUAGAUAGUUGGCGGGGUAAAGGACCACCAAGGCGACGAUCCGUAGCUGGUCUGAGAGGAUGAUCAGCCACACUGGAACUGAGACACGGUCCAGACUCCUACGGGAGGCAGCAGUGGGGAAUAUUGGACAAUGGGCGCAAGCCUGAUCCAGCCAUGCCGCGUGGGUGAAGAAGGCCUUCGGGUUGUAAAGCCCUGUUGUUGGGAAAGAAAAGCAGCAGGUUAAUACCCCGCUGUUCUGACGGUACCCAAAGAAUAAGCACCGGCUAACUUCGUG